rnacentral:rRNA from 1 species
ACGGCAGCGCGGGGCUAACCUGGCGGCAGUAGUGGCGAACGGGUGAGUAAUAUAUCGGAACGUACCCUGGAGUGGGGGAUAACGUAGCUGAAACGUUACGCUAAUACCGUAUACGACUCUAAGGAUGAAUAGCAGGGGACCGCAAGGCCUUGUGCUCCUGGAGCGACCGAUAUCUGAUUUAGCUAGUUGGUGGGGUAAAGGCCUACCAAGGCAUCGAUCAGUAGCUGGUCUGAGAGGACGACCAGCCACACUGGAACUGAGACACGGUCCAGACUCCUACGGGAGGCCGCCGUGGGGAAUUUUGGACAAUGGGCGCAAGCCUGAUCCAGCUAAUGCCGCGUGAGUGACGAAUGGCCUUCGGGUUGUCCAAGCUCUUUGGUCAGGGCAAGAAACGGGUGGAGCUAAUAUCUCUGCCUAAUGACGGUACCUGAAGCAAUAUGCACCGGCUAACUACGUGCCAGCAGCCGCGGUAAUACGGUAUGGUGCAAGCGUUAAUCGGAAUUUAGCUGGGCGUAAAGCGUGCGCAGGCGGUUUUGUACGUCUGUCGUGAAAUCCCCGGGCUCAACUGGGAAUGGCGAUGGACACUUGCAAGGCUAG